rnacentral:lncRNA from 1 species
CAUCACGCCCGGCUGCUUUUUUUGUUUUAGUAGAGAGGAGGUUUCACCGUGUUAGCCAGGAUGGUCUCAAUCUCCUGACCUCGUGAUCCGCCCGCCUCGGCCUCUCAAAGUGCUGGGAUUACACGCGUGAGCCACCGCGCCUGGCCUGAAGAAAGAAGUCAUUAAAGAAGCAACCCAUGGCAAAACUAGUUAUUUUCUUAAAACAGUAGGAAGAAGAAAAGCUUUUUGAAUGAAUCACUUCUCAUCUUCUCCGAAGUUGGAAGCAUCAAGAAUCUAAAUAAGCAUUUAUGAUGGCUGGCAUGAAUAUGUCUAUAGGUCCACUGAUACGGCUUUGCUACUCUACCCCGACACCCUGAGGACUAAUCUAUUAAUAGUAUGUACUUCUUAUAAUGAUGAGUGAGGCACAAAAGAGGAAGCAGAAACGCGGAAGAUAGAAUGGGAGUCCUAGUUGACCUUCAUAUAAUUUUUAGAAGAUGGAGCACUUCAACUUCUUCCACUCAUGAAAAGAGAGGUGACAGGUGAAGACAGAACAAGAAAACAAACCAAGAAUUUCCCCUCACCAGCCACCAGCUCUGCCAGCAACUUGAUCUUAGACUUCCCAGCCUCCGUAACGUCUUCCUCCUAAAAACCUGUAACCUCAAUCUAAUCAUGAGAAAAGACAUCAGGCAAAUCCCAACUGAGGGAGAUUUUACAUAGUACCUGAGCAGUACUCCUCAAAACUGUCAAGGUCAUCAAAAACAAAGAAGUAUGAAAAACUGUCACAGCCAAGAGGAACUUAAGGAAACAUAAUAAUUAAAGCCUCUGCUUAUAAUCUGUCAUGGAUUGGAAAACUAGAAAAAACAGUUUACAGAGUAUAACAAACUUUGGAGGAGUUAAUCGACUCUAAGUAAAAGAGUAUCUAGCACGGCUGUGGAACAAAGGAGAGACUCACAAACUGUUGAAAGAAUAAAUGAAUGAAUGAAUUCUGUUCAUGAGCUUUAAUAAAACAGCUCUGAGUAGUAACAGUGGAUCAAAUUUAGGCUUCUUGAUGCAGGCAUGGUGUAGAUUACUACUUCUGUAUUGUCCCAGGAGCUCAGCACAUUCCUGCAGAGAUGAUAGGAGCUCAUCUGAUACUUGUCAGCUUUGAAUAAACUCCAGUCCCCAAGAGAGAGAAUGAGAAUCACCGGAAUACGAAACUUCCCUGUUGGACUUCCCAACAUUCUUGAAUGCACCAAGAUAGCCUCUUGCUGUGAGAUUAAUAAAUGAAUAAAUGCCUCCAUAUUUUUCAAAUCUGUGAAGUUAACAACAUGUAGAUUUUUUUGCAUAUUUAAAAACUGCAACUAAAUCUUAAUGCCUCUGAAGCAGAUGGAAGAAAAUAAUAGGCUUCCAUUAACUGUGUCAAAUUGUAUAGGUCUUGGCCAUCACUGGUCCUGUUGUGAUGAAGGUUUUUUGCCCUUGGAUAUAAUUUAAUUUUCAAUUCUUCUAAUUAUGGUACUUCAGAACAUCAAUAUUUGAGAUGAACUUCUCUAGUGUCAAGGACUGAUUUGAGUUGUGUAAACCCUGAAUAUCUGAGACAGGUCUCGAUUAUUUUAGAAAGUUUAUUUUGCCAAGGUUGAGGAUGUGUGCCUGUGACACGGCCUCGGGAGGUCCUGAGGACAUGUGCUCAAGGUGGUCAGAGCACAGCUUUGCUUUAUACAUUUUAGAGAGACAUGAGACAUCAACCGACAUAUGUAAGAUGAACAUUGGUUCCAUCUGGAAAGGCGAGACAACUUCAAACGAGGAGGGGGCUUCCAGGUCAUAGGUAGAUAAGAGACAAAUGGCUGCAUUCUUUUGAGUUUCUGAUUAGCCUUUCCAAAGGAGGCAAUUAGAGUGAGCAAAAUGAACAAAAUCAAUUAUUUUGAUUCUGAACAAAAUGGGAGGCUGGUUUUCCCUAAGCAGUUCCCAGCUUGACUUUUCCCUUUAGCUGAGGGAUUUGGGGGGCCCAAGAUUUAUUUUUCUUUCACCGUUGUAUCAAACUACACAGGCGGCCUUGGAAACCAUCACAGUUGAGAGUAGGUAACGCCCAUUUGUUGCAUAGUUUUGUGCUCCACACUCUUAUCUACAAAAUUAUGAAUUUUUUUACAUAUAUUAAUUUCAGAAAAACUAAAAAUAAAACAAAGUAGUUUCAAACUAGUAUUGUUUUUAUAUCUUAAAAAUAAAGCUUUAUAUACUCUCCUUACCUCAUCAUAAAUAGCUUGCCUUAUUUAAUAUAUACUCGGCAUUCUAUCUGUUUUAUUUCCAUUUUGGGAUAUGAUAUUUUAAUUUUUUAAUUUGUUACCUAAACAAAAAAUAAUACACAAAUUAUUCUCAGCCUUUAUAUAUGUACUUGUUGAAAGAUGAGAUAUAUAAGUGCCGGUAAGUGCUUCAAGUAAGGAAGACAUCUGGCCUGUGUCUUGGGGAUCGCAUAAUCACUGUGGUGACAGUUUCAGAGAGUAGCAUGUGUAGGGGUUUGUGGAGUUAGCAAAGACAAGAAGCAUGAAGCACAGCCAAAAGUUUUUUUUCAGACACAAGAUAUAUUUGAAGUUUGAAAUAGAGUGAAGACCCAUAAAUGGGGAAGAAGUGAGGAUUCUAAGUGUCUGUGCAGAAAAUUUAGCAUAAUUUGUUGAGGAUUUGGAGAGUGUGUCAAAAGACAGAUAAAGAUUGCAGAUAGCUGCAAGAUCCCAGCCUCAGGGGAUCUCAAGCCGUAGGGAUUCAGCAUUUAGUCCUGCACCUAUGUGUGUGUGUUACAGGACAUGAGAAAUGAUUUAAAAAAAAACACCACCCUGGAUAAAUUCUUAGUUCUGCUCUGUUUAGUGUCUAGUGCUAGGAGAUCAAAGGAGAAGACUGUAACUUGAGCUUGACUUUGAAGUCAAUAGGACUUGUACAGUGUGGCGAAUAUACCAUAAGGGGAGUCCCAGUUGAGUCAUACUUGUUGAUGAUCCCUAUUCCUUGAGCAUGAACAGAACCUGAGACUUGCUUCUAACCCAUAGAAUAUGGCAAAAACGGUGGAAUGUCACUCCCUUGAGGUAUAAGUUAUAUAUAGAUAUAGUAUAGAUAUAUAUAGAUGAUAUAGAUGUAUAUAUAGAUACAGAUAUAAAUGUAGACAUAGAUAUAGAUGUAUGACUGUGGGCAGACAAGGAUGAGAUGACAGACCCUGCCUUGCUGGCCCUGAAGAUGUGAGCUGCUAUGCUGUGAGGUGGGCUACAAAGGAGCCACAUGAUAGGGGACUGUGGGAACCUGCAGGAGCUAAGAGUGGCUCCCAGCUAACAACCAGCAAGAAAGCAGAACCUCAGCUCUGCAGCUGCAAGUAACUGAAUUCUGCCAACCAUCAUGUGAGCUUGGAAUAGGACCCUGAGCUCCAAAAAGAAGCGCCACCCAGCUGACACCUUGAUUGUAGCCUUGUGAGACCUUGAUCAAAGGACUCAGCUAAGCCAUAUCUGGACUUCUGAUCCAUGAAAACUGUGAGAUGAUAAAUGUGUGUUGUCGUAAGCCACUACGUGUGUGGUAAUUUAUUAUGUAUCAAUAGAAAAAUAAUAUAGAUGGCUAGAGAAAAAGAUGAGUAUAUCCUGGGCACUCUAGAUGUAUGGUACCACACGAGUUAAGUACAGAGAAUAAGACGGACAUUCUUAUUUGGACCUCUGCACUUAAGCUCAUGUGGUUCCAUACAUAUAGAGUAUCCGGAAUAUACUUAUCUUUAAUACUCCAUAUUGUAUAUUGAUCCGAAUAUUGAACAAGUAUUUAUUUAUUUAUUUAUUUUUGAGACGAAGUCUUGCUCUGUCGCCCAGGCUGGAGUGCAGUGGUGCAAUUUUGGUUCACUGCAAACUCCGCCUCCUGGGUUCAAGCCUUUCUCCUGUCUCAGGCUCCCAAGUAGCUGUCACUACAGGCACCAUGCCUGGCUGAUUUUUGUAUUUUUGGUAGAGACAGGGUUUUGCCAGGCAGGUCUUGAACUCCUGACUUCAAGUGAUUCACCCACCUCAGCCUCCCAAAGUGCUGGGAUUACAAGCAUGAGCCACCACACCCGGCCUUUGAACAAGUAUUUCCUGAGAACCUACUGUGUGUUAAAACUUGACCAGGAAACCAAUGGGGGAAAUGAAAAUUAAGAGAGCUUAAGUAACUUGUGCAAGUUUACAAAAAAACAAUUAUAUAAGAAUACAGGAAUGCUGUAGGGGAAAAUGGAGUCAUGUUUGUGUGACAUCCCAACCAGUAGGGUCUCUGAGUACUUAAUCUGUAUCUUUGAAUACAGCUUGUUUUUCUUGUUUCCUUUGCACUAUAGUUUAAGUUGUGUGUUAGAUCAUCUUGAAAGCACUUAUUCUCCUUGUGUCCAGGGAUGCUUUAGGAUAAUUUAGCAGUAAAUAACUGAAAUUAUCUUUCUAAAACAAAAGUAUACUUUUUCUCUACUGAGUUUCCCAGAGUGUACAAAAGAACAUUGAACACUGAAAAAGAAAAUAAAUCCUGAAGAAAAAUAGACACAGGAGCUGAAUCACUGUUUUGAUUUCAGAACAGGAACAUCUAAGUCUGUAAAAUAUUGAGUACUUUGAACUUUGAUCUCACUAAAUUUAAGCUGUUAAAUUGUUAUGCUUUUCUGGGAAUUCCUAAGAACUUCCCUGUAUUACAACGGCUGACUCUGAAAUUUUGUUCAUUUGAAAUUUUUGAUUUUUUUUUCUCCAUGUUAGAACUGGAAAAGAUAUUUGUUCAAUUCAAUAUUUUAAACAAAUGAAGAUAUAUUUGGAAAUAAAAUAAAACCUCUUCUGCAGUGGAUCCUGUUGAUACUCUGUUAAAUCUCCUCCAAUCCCCUUUUCUCCUUGGCUGCAUCCUUCUCCUGGCUUGUGUUUGCUUUUGUUUUUCUGUUGCACCUGCAUUUCUCUUAGGAAGGCUGCCUCAACUGCUGGAAUCCCUUUACCACCUGCUGCAGAGUUCUUAGGGGUUUCCUUCCUGCCCAGCGUGGCCCCUUUCUCCAGCACAGGCUCUUAGUCAAAGAAUACUUGAAAGCCCAACUUCGUUGCACGGAGGUGAACAACUCUGAGAUUAAGUUAUGCUCUUGAGGUCCCCUGCAGGAAUAGACAAGAAACCUCUGGGAAGACAUCACCUGAAACCACACACUUAUUGAGUUUCUUCCACUUUUCUCUUUUCUGCUUCCCUGUGUCUUACUGGUUCCUUUUGGGGGCACUUCUGGAAUAAACAGUUUCUGUAAUAAAUCCCAAUUUCAGUCUGCUUCUAGGGAAUCAACCCAAGACGGACACCUUCUUACCUGUUUGCUGAAAUAUAAACUUGGUUAUCAAUCCAGAACUGCCAAAGUAUUUGAUACAAAAUGAGAUAUUUCAAAAUGCACAGGUGUCCUAGAUUUUUGUCAUUUUAAUGACUUUUUCUGGAUAAUAAAAGUAGCUUAUAUUAAUUGUUGAGUUUAGAAAAUGCACAAAAAUAAGGUAAAUUACAUUAUCUGUAGUUUCUAUUUAUACCUUGGUAAAUUUUUCCAAAAACUACCGCUAGCCCCACCUCCAAUCAAGACUACAUCUUUGAGUAUAUAUGCUAAUUUUUUCUAAUUAAAAUUAUGAUUCUAAUUAACAUACAGAAUUACAUUCUGCUUUGUUGUACACAGGUGGUUUAGUUAUUUAAUAUUUUUUAAAAUGUCAAGUGCUUGCACAUUGUAAAUUACUUUUCAAAGAACAAAAACAAUGAAAGAAACAAAGUCAGGGUUAGAGCAGAAAUUUCUCCUCUCCAUUUUCAUUUCCCAAACAUAAAUACUUUACAAGACUGGUGAAGAUUGUUCUAGAUUUUAUACACACAAAAGCACAUUUACACACACAUACACACAGACACUCACAAGGAUGUACAUAUACAAUGCACGUUUUUACUCUUAUUUAUAAUGAAACUUGUGCAUACUACAUAUGUAUUUCUUACAAUU